rnacentral:rRNA from 1 species
CGGGGGGCGUCUACCAUGCAGUCGACGAUGAGCCCUUCGGGGUGGAUUAGUGGCGAACGGGUGAGUAACACGGGGGCAAUCUGCCCUUCAGCUCUGGGACAAGCCCUGGAAACGGGGUCUAAUACCGGAUACGACCGCUGACCGCAUGGUUGGUGGUGGAAAGCUCCGGCGGUGAAGGAUGAGCCCGCGGCCUAUCAGCUUGUUGGUGGGGUAAUGGCCUACCAAGGCGACGACGGGUAGCCGGCCUGAGAGGGCGACCGGCCACACUGGGACUGAGACACGGCCCAGACUCCUACGGGAGGCAGCAGUGGGGAAUAUUGCACAAUGGGCGAAAGCCUGAUGCAGCGACGCCGCGUGAGGGAUGACGGCCUUCGGGUUGUAAACCUCUUUCAGCAGGGAAGAAGCGAGAGUGACGGUACCUGCAUAUUUUUUUGCCGGCUAACUACGUGCCAGCAGCCGCGGUAUUACGUAGGGCGCAAGCGUUGUCCGGAAUUAUUGGGCGUAAAGAGCUCGUAGGCGGCUUGUUGCGUCGGAUGUGAAAGCCCGGGGCUUAACCCCGGGUCUGCAUUCGAUACGGGCAGGCUAGAGUGUGGUAGGGGAGAUCGGAAUUCCUGGUGUAGCGGUGAAAUGCGCAGAUAUCAGGAGGAACACCGGUGGCGAAGGCGGAUCUCUGGGCCAUUACUGACGCUGAGGAGCGAAAGCGUGGGGAGCGAACAGGAUUAGAUACCCUGGUAGUCCACGCCGUAAACGUUGGGAACUAGGUGUUGGCGACAUUCCACGUCGUCGUGCCGCAGCUAACGCAUUAAGUUCCCCGCCUGGGGAGUACGGCCGCAAGGCUUAAAACUCAAAGGAAUUGACGGGGGGCCCGGCCCCAAG